rnacentral:rRNA from 1 species
AGAGUGAACGCUGGCGGUAGGCCUAACACAUGCAAGUCGAACGGCAGCACGGUAAGAGCUUGCUCUUAUGGGUGGCGAGUGGCGGACGGGUGAGGAAUACAUCGGAAUCUACCUUUUGGUGGGGGAUAACGUAGGGAAACUUACGCUAAUACCGCAUACGCCCGUUCGGGGGAAAGCCGGGGACCAGCAAUGGCCUGGUGCUGAUAGAUGAGCCGAUGUCGGAUUAGCUAGUUGGUGAGGUAAUGGCUCACCAAGGCGACGAUCCGUAGCUGGUCUGAGAGGAUGAUCAGCCACACGUGGAACUGAGACGACGGUCCAGACCUCCGUACGGGAGCAGCAGUGGGAAUAUUGACAAGUCGGGCGACUAAGCCUGACUACCGAGACCCAGUACCCGGCGGUAGGGUAGAAA